UGGGGAAUAUUGGACAAUGGGCGAAAGCCUGAUCCAGCCAUGCCGCGUGUGUGAAGAAGGUCUUCGGAUUGUAAAGCACUUUAAGUUGGGAGGAAGGGCAUUAACCUAAUACGUUAGUGUUUUGACGUUACCGACAGAAUAAGCACCGGCUAACUCUGUGCCAGCAGCCGCGGUAAUACAGAGGGUGCAAGCGUUAAUCGGAAUUACUGGGCGUAAAGCGCGCGGAGGUGGUUUGUUAAGUUGGAUGUGAAAGCCCCUGGCUCAACCUGGGAACUGCAUUCAAAACUGACUGACUAGAGUAUGGUAGAGGGUGGUGGAAUUUCCUGUGUAGCGGUGAAAUGCGUAGAUAUAGGAAGGAACACCAGUGGCGAAGGCGGCCACCUGG
rnacentral:rRNA from 1 species